rnacentral:rRNA from 1 species
UACGUAGGGGGCAAGCGUUGUCCGGAAUUAUUGGGCGUAAAGCGCGCGCAGGCGGUUUUUUAAGUUAGGUGUUUCAGCCUAGGGCUCAACCUUAGGUCGCAUCUAAAACUGGGAGACUAGAGUGUAGGAGAGGAAAGUGGAAUUCCACGUGUAGCGGUGAAAUGCGUAGAGAUGUGGAGGAACACCAGUGGCGAAGGCGACUUUCUGGCCUAUAACUGACGCUGAGGCGCGAAAGCGUGGGGAGCAAACAGG